AGGCAUAUGAUCUGGCUCAGCCAAUCAGAUGCACCCCCAGGAACUCUGAAUCUUAGCAGGUGAUACAAAGACACGGUGAUGGGAUGUAUCUGACAGAAUUGGCGGCAGCCGCCCCAGGAGGUUUCCAGGGCCAGAGGAGCCUCAGGGCCAGUUUCACUGUUGUCCUCCCUGCUCUAGCCCUGAGGUGUGAUUUGGCAGGGGUUCUGGCUGCUGUCCGGUCCUCCCUGGUUCCUGAGCUUAGCUCUCCAGCCAGCCCGAGGAGUCCGUGAGCUUUCUGUUGCUUUCAACGAAGAACCCUGACAAUAAACAGAGACAAGUCAGCAUCAUGGAGAUAGAGAGGAGCUGGGACCUGGAGCGUGGAUACAUAGGCAGUUGGCAGCAGUGAUUCUGUGAGAACCCAGACAGAUGCUCAGAUGAGAGACCAACGUCCCUGCCUCCAUCCCUGAGUUUUUAUUACUUCCUUGCCCUCUGCCUUGCAAGGUUCCUCUCAGCAUCUCCUGCAGGAAGAAUGCCCGUUGGCCCUGCUGCCUGAGGGCCGAUGCCCCCGCUGCCUGGAGCCUUGGUUUUCUCAACUAAGAAGUGGAUGCGAACUCCUGCAUCACUGCUUAACCAGCAUCACCAGUUAACGUCGGCGGUGCCAGAGCAGUGCACGGCCCUGGCAGCUCACCAGGACCGACUAUUGGUGCCACCCGCUGUCCUGGGGCUCCGGGCAGGCUCUAGGAGCCCAGGCUCACAGCAGGCCAUGGGAAAGCCCUGUUGACCAGGGUGGGCUGGAAGGAACUUUCGCCUCCCCUCCUUGGGCUCUGGGAGCUGAGAAGGGGGCACAGUGACUGGGGCUAGAACGUGGAGGUGCUCCCCCCAAACAGCCUGAAGGAAGGAGGAAGGAAGAGAGGACGAGCUGAGCACACCCUGGGCCCCAGAGGAAGUUGAAAGCUGGGCCGUGGUGUGACAGUUCAUGGGCUGCACCGCAACUCCCCACCCCACCCUCACCU
rnacentral:lncRNA from 1 species